CUUGGAUUGUUCUAUGAUAGCACUAUUAGAGUAUCUGUCUGUCUGGUGUUUCAUUUUUACCAAAACACUUUGCGACCAACUUGAAAAAGAACUUGGAUGGCUGUAAAGUGUAAAGAAGAGUUUACUUCAUAUGUAUUUUUGGUCAAUAUUUUUUGGUCUUUAUUCUUAAGGUAAUAUCUUCAACUUAAGGUUUCGUGUGUCAUGGGUGCUUGUGACAAUAGAGAUGAAAUUGUCCAUUUCAAGCCGUGUCUUACAAAACUAAGGAAAUUCUAUUUGCAAGAAAACCUUUCUGACAAAACAUGGUUUUCCAGUCGUUGCUGGAUGGAUUGUUUUGAGGGUAGUUCCCAUGUCUAAAGACCAAUCCUAGCCUACACCUCACCAAGAGGAUUCUUUCGACAUAUGUGUGUUGAUCCCUUUGUAUGCAGAGAGUUCAACCUACAGACGGGCCGGCAAGUUUGCAUGUCCUUCACGCUUGAAGGUCGCGGGAAACAUAACGAGUAUUACUGUCAAUGCGGUGUUGUAGAGUUUGGGUGAGAAUUAAUUGGACGUGUUGCAUCAUUAUCAAGCAGACCCAUCCCCAGCAACGUCAACCUAAAGAAGGAAAGGCUAGUUUUCAUUUC